rnacentral:lncRNA from 1 species
CUGGUCAGUAAAAGAGGUAGAAAGACACCUUUGCUGACAGAGGAAAGGAGAAAGUAGAAAAAGGAAAAGACACAUCUAAGCUGUUCCUCCUGCCCUUCUCAACCAGGCUGAAUGGAGACUGAAUAACAGAGGAUAGAGAUCUCACCAUUUCCUAUCCAGGCAGGCUGUGCCAGGAUAGGAAAGUGCUCCCUUUCAGUGCUCCCUUAUUACUGUCAACCCACUGAAACCAGAAUGGCUGAGAGCAGAGUGUCCCUGCAUAGCCCUUCUCCCGAGGAGUGAGGACACCAGCUAGGUGGGAGAUCAGAGUGCAAGAUGGAAAUCCAGCUCCCGUCUCUGCUGAAAUAUGAAUUCUAAAAUUCUAAAAAAAACAGGUAUUAAUUAAAUAUCUGGCUUAUGAAAUAACAGUCUUUUUUCCAAUGAAGGUGGUCUGCAAUUUAGGCUGAUGUAAAGUAGGUUUAAAUAGGAAUUAAAUUUUUAAAAAGUCAAGGCAGAAUUCAGAGAUCUUAUCAUUGUUUUCUGUGUCAGCACACUACUUCAGUGAGUACAAUUUAAAUACCAAGUCAAUUAAGUGCCAUAAAUUCCUCAGGUGUAACUAAAUCUAGUUAAUUGUGGUGAAGUGCUGCCUAGCUACAUCAAUCAAACGGAUGAAACAUUUGGGGGGAAAAAACAAAAACAAAUCCAAAAAUCAGAAUGGGAUUUAGAAGAAGCUGAUGGAAGAAAAGAAGUACUGCAUUCAAUGCACUAUAAAAAUUCUAGUCUGGGCUGUUGGUUGUUUUUCUAAUUAAAAAUAAAAAAAAGCCAUACUGGCAGAAGUGGUCCAAUGAAGUCUUGGACAAAGCCCUGCUGUGCAAGUGAGGCAUGAGUUCAUCCCAGACCUAGCCAGACUCUACUGUAGAAAAUUAAAAGUUAUUUACCCAUUUCAUUCAGCUUCUGGAUUAUGCCUUUUCUGAUCACAUUAGCUCUUACCUUCUUCUUGCAGGACAAAAUCACUGGCCUGGAGCACAUCACUAAACAGAAAAUUAAUUACAGUUGUCUGCUGGGUGUAGAAUGCUUGUCAAUGGGACUGAAUCCAGUAGUCCCCAUAGAUCUCCAGGCCACUGGACACAGGUCCUGAUGCUCAUGAUGGUGACUGAUUGAUGCUGAGCUCCUGUGAAGACCCAAAGAGGUCGGAAAUGGCAGUCUACUAAUAUUUUU